rnacentral:rRNA from 1 species
GAUGAACGCUGGCGGCGUGCUUAACACAUGCAAGUCGAACGAUGAAGCCCAGCUUGCUGGGUGGAUUAGUGGCGAACGGGUGAGUAACACGUGAGUAACCUGCCCUUAACUCUGGGAUAAGCCUGGGAAACUGGGUCUAAUACCGGAUAGGAGCGUCCACCGCAUGGUGGGUGUUGGAAAGAUUUAUCGGUUUUGGAUGGACUCGCGGCCUAUCAGCUUGUUGGUGAGGGAAUGGCUCACCAAGGCGACGACGGGUAGCCGGCCUGAGAGGGUGACCGGCCACACUGGGACUGAGACACGGCCCAGACUCCUACGGGAGGCAGCAGUGGGGGAUAUUGCACAAUGGGCGCAAGCCUGAUGCAGCGACGCCGCGUGAGGGAUGACGGCCUUCGGGUUGUAACCCUCUUUCAGUAGGGAAGAAGCGAAAGUGACGGUACCUGCAGAAGAAGCACCGGCUAACUACGUG